rnacentral:rRNA from 1 species
UACGAAGGGGGCUAGCGUUGUUCGGAAUCACUGGGCGUAAAGGGCGCGUAGGCGGCUUUAUAAGUCGGGGGUGAAAGCCUGUGGCUCAACCACAGAAUUGCCUCGAUACUGUAUGGCUUGAGACCGGAAGAGGUAAGUGGAACUGCGAGUGUAGAGGUGAAAUUCGUAGAUAUUCGCAAGAACACCAGUGGCGAAGGCGGCUUACUGGUCCGGUUCUGACGCUGAGGCGCGAAAGCGUGGGGAGCAAACAGG